GUUUUGUGUAUAGCACAUUUUUAGCUUUUGUGUAUAGCACAUUUUUAGCUAUUGUGUCUUGCACAUUCUUAGCCUUUGAUUUGUUUGAAAGUAUAGUAAGCAGUUAGCUUAUCAACUGUAAACUUCAAUUGUUUACCUAAUGACCAGUGCCGGAGUUUUUGAUAAGGCCCUAACCUAUUUGAGAUAUGGAAGUCGUAAUUUACAUAACGCAAUCUUUCCUUUCUAUUCCAAAAUAUUGAAAAUAGCCCUGAAACUAUUUAUAAGGGGGGGGGGGG